GGGCACAUGGUGUAGUUGGUUAUCACGCCCGCUUAGCAUUUGAUUGCAUGCGGGCGGUCCCCGGUUCAAUUCCGGGUGUGUCCA
rnacentral:tRNA from 1 species